rnacentral:rRNA from 1 species
GACGAACGCUGGCGGCGUGCUUAACACAUGCAAGUCGAACGAAGAGCGAUGGAAGCUUGCUUCUAUCAAUCUUGGUGGCGAACGGGUGAGUAACGCGUAAUCAACCUGCCCUUCAGAGGGGGACAACAGUUGGAAACGACUGCUAAUACCGCAUACGAUCCAAUCUCGGCAUCGGGACUGGAUGAAAGGUGGCCUCUAUUUAUAAGCUAUCACUGAAGGAGGGGAUUGCGUCUGAUUAGCUAGUUGGAGGGGUAACGGCCCACCAAGGCGAUGAUCAGUAGCCGGUCUGAGAGGAUGAACGGCCACAUUGGGACUGAGACACGGCCCAGACUCCUACGGGAGGCAGCAGUGGGGAAUCUUCCGCAAGGGACGAAAGUCUGACGGAGCAACGCCGCGUGAGUGAUGACGGCCUUCGGGUUGUAAAGCUCUGUUAAUCGGGACGAAUGGUUCUUGUGCGAAUAGUGCGAGGAUUUGACGGUACCGGAAUAGAAAGCCACGGCUAACUACGUG